GUUCCCGUAGUGAAAUGGUAAUCACAUAGACCUUAUACAGUUUGUAUGCGUGAGUAGAGUUAAGUCUACAUCCCGGGAUCAAUACCCGGCGGGAAUA
rnacentral:tRNA from 2 species